rnacentral:rRNA from 1 species
GAUAAACGCUGGCGGCGUGCCUAAUGCAUGCAAGUCGAACGGUCUAGUUUCGCAAGAGGCUAGGUAGUGGCAAACGGGUGAGUAACACGUGGGGAUCUGCCCAGUAGUGGGGAACAACUCCGAGAAAUCGGAGCUAAUACCGCAUACGGUAGGUGUUGAGGAACACCAUACUAAAGCCUUUCUUCGGAGGGGCGCUAUUGGAGGAACCUGCGGCUGAUUAGCUAGUUGGUAAGGUAAGGCUUACCAAGGCUACGAUCUGUAACCGGUCUAAGAGGACGGUCGGUCACACUGACACUGAAUAACGGGUCAGACUCCUACGGGAGGCAGCAGUCGGGAAUUUUGGGCAAUGGGCGAAAGCCUGACCCAGCAACGCCGCGUGAAGGAUGAAGUAUUUCGGUAUGUAAACUUCGAAAGAAUGGGAAGAAUAAAUGACGGUACCAUUUAUAAGGUCCGGCUAACUACGUGCCAGCAGCCGCGGUAAU